rnacentral:lncRNA from 1 species
GAACAACGCACUGACAAUAGACAUCAAGCUUACAGAUGGACAAAAUCUAUGUAGCUAGGCAUAUGCAUUGAUUACAUGGAUUGUGCCAUGUAUGGCCUCAGUAUUAUAGUACUAGCAAAUGAUGGUAGCUGACUUUGAGAUAUUUACAAGCUUUAAUAUUGUACUAAGAGCACUGAUCUAUGACGUAAAAAAUGUAUUACUAGCAUUUACACUCUCUUUCUCUUUACUACCUUUCCCUCCCUCUCCGUCACCAGCCUCAUUAUCAUUCUCAAUUGAUUCAUCAUCAGAAACUUCACUUCCUUCGGCUGCAGUAGACUCAUCAUCAUCAUCAAGAUCAAUAACACCAACUGCAUAAGGUCCGACCUGAAGAAACCAGAAAAACAAUCGUUAGAUACAAGAUGCAAUUAAGAAUUGGAGAAAGAUUUAACAAGUUUUGCAUUUGGGAAGCACCAUGGAUUUCUUCCCAUCAACCCAUGUGACCUCGAUGUUACCAUCUUUGAGUCCAGUGACAUUCCCCCAAGGGUAACAAGUAUCACCCACUUUUUCUGGUACAGAAACAGGUGACAAACCAACAACAAAGUCUCCGUAGCCACAGCCAAACGCACUCAGUUGGUAUACACUUACGACCUCCUCUUUUUCAAACUCUAUGAUGAGGUCCUUUAACCUUGUGUCUGGCUUCAACCAUCUGACAAUAGCUGUUUGUUCCUCCGCAUUAACAGUUUUAACAACCCCAAUACGACGUCUAACAUCGUCAGCAGCUUUCUCUUUCACAUAAUCUUCAGGAAAAAAAUCAUUCUCUCCAGGGUUUUCAAUUGGCAGCAAGGAGGCAGGUUCCAAAUUUCUUUCUAUUUUUCCAUCCUGCCACUCAACAUCAACAUAAGUUCUAACAUUAAAAAUUCGAAGUUCCUUUUCUAAUAACCUUUUCUUAACUAGAUAUUCCGCUAAUCUAUGACUGUUCCUUUUAAGCAUCACAUCCAUCAUCCUUUCUAAAGUCCAUGGCCGUUUGUCUGGUUUUCUGGAAACUAACGAUGAUGAUACUGCAGGAAGUGAAGGAACAAGACACCAGUCACCUAUUUUCCAGUUUAAAUGAGAGAAGCAAGUGAACUUUUUCAACUUCUUUGGGUCUUCUCGUACAGAUGGUGGGUCUUGUCUUACAGAUGGAUCUCCAGCAGAUGUAAUCCAAUCGACUAAAACAGAGCCAGCAGUAACUGCAACUAUUGUACCAAACUUAUCAGCUAUCCUUGGAUAAAACAUAUGAUCUUUCCAUGUUUUUACACGCUCACCUGUAUAAUAGUAGUGUAAUCCACUAUCUUCCUUGUUCAAACUAUCUGGUGUAAGUGUGUAGGUGUUAGCCUCCUUAAUUGUUCUCACAGUGUCAUCGUCAAAUCGAACACGAAUAUCAUUGAGAACACGCCUGAUCUUACCCAAGUAAGCCCCACAGAGCACAUAGUCUCCAACUUGAAGUUCUCUCACCCUUUGCAAUUUAAUCGAUGGCACGUUUCCGAUAGGUCCGCUGCCAUAUCUUACCAAAUCAACGUAUUCCCUUAUAGAAACCACCUGUCCUAAUUGAACUUUUGGGUUAGAAGCUGAAGCGACAACAUCGCCAAGUACAACUUCAUUACCGCAUACAAAUUCUCGUCCAGCAACAACAUCAGCAAGAAUUUUACAUUCUUCUGCUGUAAUUGGAUCGCACUUGUAGUCACCACAAUCUUGAUCUUGG